UAACAUGGAAUAAAUAUCCACAUCACGCUGCCAAUUUCUCUUCACAGUGUGAUGUCGUCUUCCCCCCCCCCCCCCACCACAAUGCGUGCAGUUACUGCUAUAAAGCCCUUACAUAUUAAUUUAAUAUUAUGACAACGCUUACAUGGUAUUAUUCUGCCUCGGGCAGGGGGAUGGUGGGGGGGUAGCGGCCCAGCUCACAGCCUGGCAACGUCUCACCUCCUCCGGCUUGCCAAUCUAGGCGAGGACGCGGGCUCUGCACGGGACGACGCGUCACCACGCCAAUAUGAACAGGUUUUGAGGGCUGAUGAGACCCCCGCCGUCCCUCCUCCAACGGGACCUACCCCGGAUACGACCGAAACCGAACAUUCUCCUUCUUCUUCUUCACAUCAACCACUUCCUGCAGAUCCGGCGGCAAGGCGACCAUGCGCAGGAAGCAGAGAGGGUCCCGCGGCGCAUGAUAUCGUCAAAUAGGUCUGCAGUCUCUUCCCGUGGGAGUGUUUGAUCAACUGGAAAAUCUGCAAGACUUACGCCUGAACACUAACCAGCUACAGUCUCUCCCAUUGUGAAGACUUUGCGGAAUAUAGAACAACUGGUUUUCGAUGCCUGCUUCUUAGCAACGAGGGUUGCAAAGUGUCCCAAGUUUGACCCAGAGAGUCCGGAGAAUUGGCAUCUGUGUUCGGACGGAAGGAAAUGAUGUCCCGAAAUCUGCUGGUGUUUUGUUGGACUUUCUUGCACUGGACUGCACCGUUUUUAUAGACAUAAGGUUGACUGAAACAUCUGGGUUUGUUCUCCAGUGGAUUGCGUAGCAACCCCAUCUCUCCGACUUACAAUGUAAAAUACAGUAAUUUUGCACUUUAUUUAUUGAAUAACAUACGCAAUAGACGUUUGCACAUACUGAAUGUUGAUGUGGCCAGGCCUAUUUGCUGAUUGCAGCCCUUAAGGAGCAAAGCCUUUGUUUCCACAUCAAUCUAUUUUGAGAUACAUUUUCGUUACUGGAUAAUGCAAACCAUCGUCCCAUUCUAUCCAGACAUCACUUUAUAAUAUCCCCUGAUGCACUUGAAUAUGAAGGCAUAGAUAGUUUUGCUGCCUAUGAUUUCACACCACAUUUUUAUUUGUACUUUUUAAAUAACUGCGCUGGUAAAAUGUGCAGAGUGGUAGUAGCUCUUCAGCGUGAGGCAAAUCACCUUGGCAUGAUUUUUAGGGGUUUUUUUGCUUGAGGGUGAUGAUUGAAGAUGGUACCUGAUGAAGUUGGCGCUAACAGUGAUAGCGAAUAGCAUGGUACCUUUCUUAACCAGUAUCAAAGUAUCAGAAAUAAGAGUAGGGUUCACCCUUUCUCGCAAUAAAACAGGUGUUAAGAUGUCCAAACCUUUUGCAAGGAAUCUGUUUCAAAGACAAUGCAUAUAUUAUCAAAGCUGUUUGUUUGCAGGUUUGAUUCUUUGCAAAAGGUUUCUAGUUGGUGUUUGAACAUCUUAACACCUGUUUUAAUGCCAGAAAGAGUAAAACCUAUUCUGAUUUUUCAUACAAUGAUAACGAAUGUAAUAACGAUUACAAUAGUGACUGAUAACGGUGGUAUCUAUGACAAUUGUGCUGAUAAUUAUAAUGAUAAUGAAGGUAAAAAUAACAAUGAUAUUGGUGAUAACGUUGUUGAGAAUGUUGAUGGUGCUAUCAUUGCUCGUGACUGCGAUGUUGGGAUGAUGUAUCAUUGGCAUAUGAAGCACCUGUUUAAUGCACCUGUGUAGGAGUCACACCGAUUUAGCUCGAUCGUGGGAAUUCGUAUAGUCAGCAUGCCGAAGGGAGAGGCUCCAAGUUGGGCUCUGCUGCUGACGAGGUCAAUACCCCCCCCCCCCCCAAGCAAGCGUUGAGGUCGAGGUACUGUGUCAAAGUGUGAUAUGGUGUAAGUGUGAAUAAAUGGACGU